UACUACCGAAGCUACGGCAUCAGUAAUGAUGGGUAGGGGAGCUUCCCAUACGGGUUGAAGCAUGACCGUAAGGACAUGUGGACAGGAUGGGAGUGAGAAUGUUGGCAUGAGUAGCGAGAUGUGGGUGAGAAUCCCACAGGCCGUAAACCCAAGGUUUCCAGGGGAAGGUUCGUCCGCCCUGGGUUAGUCGGGACCUAAGCUGAGGCCGAAAGG
rnacentral:rRNA from 1 species